rnacentral:rRNA from 1 species
GACGAACGCUGGCGGCGUGCCUAAUACAUGCAAGUAGGACGCAGUUGCGAACGGGUGAGUAACGCGUAGGGAACUGCCUAUUAGAGGGUGAUAACUAUUGGAAACGAUAGCUAAUACCGCAUACUAGUAGAUGGACCUGCGUUGUAUUAGCUAGUCGGUAGGGUAAUGGCCUACCUAGGCGAAGAUAAAUAGCCGACCGGUGAUGUGGAUCGGCCACAUCUGGAGUGAGAAACGGCCCAGACUCCUACGGGAGGAAUCAGUAGGGAAUCUUCGGCAAUUGGGGGAACCCUGACCGAGCAACGCCGCGGGAGUUAAGAAGGGUUUCGGGUCGUAAAGCUCUGUUUUUAAGGAAGCGUUACUUAACCAGAAAGGGACGGCUAACUACGUGCCAGCAGCCGCGGUAAUAC